rnacentral:rRNA from 1 species
AGGAAUUGGCGGGGGAGCACCACAACGCGUGGAGCCUGCGGUUUAAUUGGAUUCAACGCCGGACAUCUCACCAGAGGCGACAGCUGUAUGAUAGCCAGGUUGAUGACUUUGCUUGACUAGCUGAGAGGAGGUGCAUGGCCGCCGUCAGCUCGUACCGUGAGGCGUCCUGUUAAGUCAGGCAACGAGCGAGACCCACGCCCUUAGUUACCAGCUUAUCCUUUUUUGGAUGAUGGGCACACUAAGGGGACCGCCUAUGAUAAAUAGGAGGAAGGAGUGGACGACAGUAGGUCCGUAUGCCCCGAAUCCUCUGGGCAACACGCGGGCUACAAUGGCUGAGACAAUGGGUUCCGACACCGAAAGGUGGAGGUAAUCCUCUAAACUUAGUCGUAGUUCGGAUUGAGGACUGUAACUCGUUCUCAUGAAGCUGGAAUGCGUAGUAAUCGCGUGUCACAAUCGCGCGGUGAAUACGUCCCUGCUCCUUGCACACACCGC